rnacentral:lncRNA from 1 species
AUAUUUACAAUGCUGAAUAAAUAGAAAACAAGUUGAUUUGAAGAUUUGAGAAAUAGCAAAACGUUUAGUUUUUUUUGUCUCAGUUCCAGCCUUACCUGAAGCUCAUCUACAACCCCUCAGCUACCGUAUGUAUACAUUUAUGAUUUAACAUCAACAAAAUACCACAAUGCAAAUAUGUUAUGUGAGAUUUUAUCUUUUUUCUUAAUGAAGAAAUAUACUUUACACAUGUUUUAAAUGUUUAUCUGUUCUUUUCCCUGCAGAAUAAAAUCUCAUUUGAAUAUGGGAUAACAACACUUCUCCCAUCGUUCAUGAAGGUAAGAAAUUACUAAUGACAUUGUUGUAUCUGUAUUCCUACAAUAAAAUAAUGUAUUUACUUUCUUAAACCAUGAUAUGAUUGAUCUAUCUGCAGGCUGAAGAGACAAAGACUUGGGAAGAGGAAGGAAAAUAAUAUGGUGGAUACAAGGUGUGUUAAACACUU